UUGCCCAAUGCCCACCCGCAAACAGGAGCUGUUGCUGCUUUUUCAUCACCAUUGUUAUCCCCGCAUCUGAAAAUAUCAGUCAAGACAGACAAAGUGUCCAUGCGGAGCCAGAAAAAAACGAUUGUGUGAAAUUCCUUUUUACAUAGUCAUCACACAAUGGAUCUCGCUCUUUAAUUCAUGAAACUCCAUGCCCAUAACCUUGUCACCAAUGCCCUGUUCAAAAAUAGAGAAAACAUCAUUAAAUAUGAAGGCACUUUGAGUUUGAGCAGGGACAUGAGUGGGUUCAUUUCAAAUGUAUGUGAAUUCCAAAUAAGUAAUCUGCAGUUAAGGAAAGCAUUGGUUUGUGUAUCGGCACUUUGGUUGGUUGGUGGCUUAGCAGGCAGAUUCUUCUGCCCUAAAUCCCCAAUUAGUUGGGAAUGCCUUUGGGUGCUAUGACCUUUGUGAUGACUAUCAAAGGCAUCAAUGACAAGAUUUUGUCUAUGGGAUAUCAGAAUUUUACAGUCCAGACAUUUUCUGCUUAUGCUCAAGCUUCAUAUAAUAAGGGGUUGAUUGUCUUGGUAACUGGUUGUUAGCUUGGAAAGAACAAUUUCUGAGAAGGAAAUUCACUCAAUCGUUUUUUCUAGCCCCACAAGGUAAAGGAUAUUUUGUCUUGAAUGAUGUUUUAAGAUAUGUAGAUGAAAUGGAAGACAAAGAAGAUUCUGAAGGGAAUGUAAAUAAUAAAGCUGAAUAAAGUUCUCCAACAGAUCCAUCAGCUGCUGAUCCUGAGCCAAUUCAUGCUGCCAAUAACCAUGUGGUGAAUCACAGAACCCCUGCAAAUAAGGACACCGAAAACAGCAAUGAAUUUAGUCAUCCUUCACAAAUGGAAAAGUUUUGGUGGCUGAGAAAACGGUUGUUCCAGAGCAUCCAGCCGUUUCAAGUCAGAAUGAUGCCCCUCAGGGCUUGAAGACACCUGCCUCUAAAACACAAGUUGAAGUCCCCAAGAAAUCUUCUGCAUCAGUGGUACGCUCAUAUAAAGGCAUCUUACAAAUAUUACAAUCAUUGGACAUGUUUAAAUGUGUUGAUUCAUAAUGAUAUUUUUCAUGUAUAUGAUUUAAAUAAGAGUAAUUCUCCAUUUAAUGUUAUUUUGAGGGUUCCACCAGUUAAAACCUGUAGAACAAUCACGGGUCACUGCAGUGUAGAAACUGCUCCUAAUGGCAACAGUACCAUGGAUAAAAGCAAUAAUAAUGGUGGUUUUUAUUA